rnacentral:lncRNA from 1 species
UACAAGGAGGCAGUUUCAUGCAGAAUGAAACUGCAGGGGGUUUUUCGCGUUUGUAGCCUCCUAUUAGUAACCCCACGCCCCUUAGGGCUUCCCUGAGCUUCACAGCAGCAGGAGAAGAGGUAGGGGAGUUCUCCACACCCUCCCUCUCUAUUUCUUUGAUCUUGGUUGGUUUAAUUUGUAAAUUAAGCUUCUCUUUUUCCCUUUUUUUGCUUCUUGGUGUUCUCCCUCCAUGGAAGGAGCUUGAGGCUUGAUUUUGGAGCUUGUUUGAGGGAAGAUUUUCAGAUCUUGGGGACUUGGAUACUUGUUGGAGGCUUCCAAAGAGGUUAGAAGCUUAGUUCUUUCUUUUGAUCCUUAAUUUAUUGGAUUUUAUGAGAUGAAACCCUAGAUUGUGAUAUUAGGGUUUAUUUUGGGUAUUUUGAAUCUAGGGCUUUUGAAGCUAGAUUGAGUGGAUUAGAGGCUUCCAUUAGGUUGGAUUGGAUGGACCUUAGCUCUUUUUUGGAGCUUUAGAGGAGAUUUUUACACUAGAGGUGAGUUCUCUCCACCUAUGCUUGAAAGGCUUAAUGAUUAAACUUAGCGUCAUUCGUUUCGACUAGAUGACACUUGUUUUCAUACCUUUAGGGUACUAGGAGUGUGGUGGACACCUUCGUCGUGGCAAACGAAAGCUUUCGUUGACGACGGUGCGUUUGACUUCGUGGAAAUGGGGCGAAAUGACCCCUAUGCUCUUUCUACUUGUUGUAAAAUAUUUUUAAAUUCAUUUCUAUGCUAAAUGGAAUUUAUAUGAAUUUUAGAGCACUUAAAAUGCAUGUCUUGUGUAUUAUGAAAAUUUCACUAUAUAGUAGAGCUAUAUGAGUAGAAUGCAUGCAUACGGGAAAAGUGUUUAUUUUGCAAGUGGAAAAUACAUCUCUUAUGAGGAUUAUAACUUGGAAUAUGUACUUUGGAACAUAGUUGCCAUGCUUUGACAUAGAGAACAAGAGUGUCAUAAAGGGGCACUUGAAACUAGUAAACUAUGAAACUGCAACGUAUAGACAUAUUGAUAGGCCACUACAUAUCUGCUAUAUUCCAUAUUAGAGACAUGAUGACAUAGGGAUAGGCCAUUGAGAUACUUGACACAUUCCAUGUUAUUAGACAUGAGGAUUUGGUACUUGCGAUAGAUCGUUUGACUACUUGCCAUUGUGCUCAUUCGCACAUGCUUGUGAGGGUCGCUCCCUACAAGCCGGCACUCCGGAGAUAGCCAUCGCGAUUCAUAUUCGCCGUGCGGGAUUGGGCGCCGAAGUGGAUUGCCGUGGGCCAGGCUCAUUCCUAGGGUGGGGAUGAUGACUACCACGGGGCCAUUAGGCUCGGCACCGGCCAGACAGCCUACGGGUGGGUCUCAGGGCCAUAGACAGCCUUCGGGUGGGUCUCUUCAGAUUUGACUUGAGUAUUCAUUAUGACAUGCGGACAGAUGAUGACUUAGAGUAUUACUUGGACAUUGACUAGAAUAGUAAACAAUGGAACUUUACUAUUUCGCAUUGUGAACAUUAUGAUAGUUGGAGACUUUUACUUCAUGCAUAGCUGCUUUCAUACUUAUACUAUUUAUG